rnacentral:rRNA from 1 species
AGAGUUUGAUCCUGGCUCAGGAUGAACGCUGGCGGCGUGCUUAACACAUGCAAGUCGAACGAACCUUCGGGUUAGUGGCGGACGGGUGAGUAACGCGUGAGAAUCUGCCCUCAGGAGGGGGAUAACGGCUGGAAACGGCCGCUAAUACCCCAUAUGCCGAGAGGUGAAACGAGUUUUCGCCUGAGGAUGAGCUCGCGUCUGAUUAGCUAGUUGGUGGGGUAAGAGCCUACCAAGGCAUCGAUCAGUAGCUGGUCUGAGAGGAUGAUCAGCCACACUGGGACUGAGACACGGCCCAGACUCCUACGGGAGGCAGCAGUGGGGAAUUUUCCGCAAUGGGCGAAAGCCUGACGGAGCAACGCCGCGUGAGGGAUGAAGGCCUCUGGGCUGUAAACCUCUUUUAUCAAGGAAGAAGAUCUGACGGUACUUGAUGAAUAAGCCACGGCUAAUUCCGUGCCAGCAGCCGCGGUAAUACGGGAGUGGCAAGCGUUAUCCGGAAUUAUUGGGCGUAAAGCGUCCGCAGGCGGCCUGAUAAGUCUGUUGUCAAAGCGUGGAGCUUAACUCCAUUUCGGCAAUGGAAACUGUGAGGCUUGAGUGUGGUAGGGGCAGAGGGAAUUCCCGGUGUAGCGGUGAAAUGCGUAGAUAUCGGGAAGAACACCAGUGGCGAAGGCGCUCUGCUGGGCCAUAACUGACGCUCAUGGACGAAAGCCAGGGGAGCGAAAGGGAUUAGAUACCCCUGUAGUCCUGGCCGUAAACGAUGAACACUAGGAGUCGGGGGAAUCGACCCCCUCGGUGUCGUAGCCAACGCGUUAAGUGUUCCGCCUGGGGAGUACGCACGCAAGUGUGAAACUCAAAGGAAUUGACGGGGGCCCGCACAAGCGGUGGAGUAUGUGGUUUAAUUCGAUGCAACGCGAAGAACCUUACCAGGGUUUGACAUCCUGCGAAUCCCUUGGAAACUUGGGAGUGCCUUCGGGAGCGCAGAGACAGGUGGUGCAUGGCUGUCGUCAGCUCGUGUCGUGAGAUGUUGGGUUAAGUCCCGCAACGAGCGCAACCCACGUCUUUAGUUGCCAGCAUUCAGUUGGGCACUCUAGAGAGACCGCCGGUGAUAAACCGGAGGAAGGUGUGGAUGACGUCAAGUCAUCAUGCCCCUUACAUCCUGGGCUACACACGUACUACAAUGCUACGGACAAAGGGCAGCAAACUCGCGAGAGCUAGCAAAUCCCAUAAACCGUGGCUCAGUUCAGAUCGUAGGCUGCAACUCGCCUACGUGAAGGAGGAAUCGCUAGUAAUCGCAGGUCAGCAUACUGCGGUGAAUACGUUCCCGGGCCUUGUACACACCGCCCGUCACACCAUGGAAGUUGGCCACGCCCGAAGCCGUUACUCCAACCCUUGUGGAGGAGGACGUCGAAGGUGGGGCUGAUGACUGGGGUGAAGUCGGAACAAGGUA